rnacentral:lncRNA from 1 species
ACAAACACUUAUUGCUUGUAGUACUACAAAAAAGGCAAAUAAUGCAAACAUAUUGGGAAAUUCUAGUCUUGGAUUUCAGCAGAACACUGUUCCCCAAACUUUCCUCCAAAAUCAUUUUCUCAGAUUAGCAUGGUAUUUUCCAUGAUACAACAACAACAUCGUUUAAUUUGAAGGGAAUCCAAAAAAGGUAGAAAAGGGCAACCUUGUUGCAUAAUAAUAUAAAUCCAAGUAGAGAGAGAGAGAGAGGAGAGAGAAUGUGGAAAGCAGGGUUGUCCCCAGUGAAGAUAGUGUUGAAGUCGUUGAAGAUCUUGUUAUCUAACAAACUUGUAUUCACUUUCAUACUUAUCUUCACAACCCUCCCUCUCUCAACCCUCAUCAUGACCCAAUCCUUCUCCCUCCACUCACGCGCCACCCAAAUCCGCCACCUUGAGAUCCUCGCCCUCUACUCCUCCACCCGCUUCGAGGCCCGCCACGUCUGGCAAGAGUCCCGCCACGACGCCCUCUCCCUCCUCCGCACCAGAGCCCUCUUCUCCCUCCCCACCUACCUCCUCUCCCUCUCCGCCGCCAUCUCCUCCGUCCACUCCACUCUCUCCCCCACUUCCCCCACCCUCUGCUCCGCUUCCAAAUCCAUCUUCAUCAAUUACAAACGCCCCUUCCUCACCUCCAUCAUCGUCUACGCUAUCCUCUUCGUCUUCUCCCUCGCUCGCAUCGCUUUCUCCACUCUAUCCGCCUCCACCGGAUCCAUAUUCCUAGCCAACGCUAUCGUUUGCGUAAUCGAAGUUUACCUAAUGUCGGUGCUGAGCAUGGGGUUUAUAGUUUCUAUCGCAGAAGAACAGUUCGGAUGGGAUGCGAUUCGGGUCGGGUCGGGUUUAAUGGAGGAGAGUCGGGUAUGCGGGUGGGUUUUGUCGGGUUUGUGUGUUCUGUCAUCAAGACUAAUCCGGUGGAAGGUGGAGAAGUUGUUGGAGGGUCAGAUAGAACCGCCGUCGUUUUUGGGAUUGACGGAUAUAGCGGUAAAGAAGAUCGGAAUUGAGGAAAAAGCGGAAACGGCAUCCAGUUAAGGAAGCCGAAUCUCAUAAUGAUGAACUCCAACUGCACUCUCUCUCUCUUUGACUUCAAUCCUUCAUCAUCUCCUCUCUUUCUCUAUUUUUUUGUGUACAGUUUUCUCAAGUAAUCACUAUGGGUUAUGUAAUUGUAAUGUUGUUGUGUUCUUUUUAGCUUAACUCUAUUCCAUUUCCUUAUGUAAGUUUCAUUGAUAUUCGUUAAUCACUUUCCAUAUCUUGUAUGUGCACCUCUUUGGCAACUCUAUCAAUUGGAUAACUUCAUCGGUACAUGAUUAUGUUAUUUGUGAGGACAUUUAUUGGAU